rnacentral:lncRNA from 1 species
UGAGUAAGGUUAACACUGAACAAAGGUUUUUGAAUUUGAAGGUUAAAGAUCACACCACUACACUCCAGCCUGGGUGAAAAAGCAAGACUCCAUUGCAAAAAAAAAAAAAAGAUUUGGUGACUUCCCUGUUGGAUUUCGGACUUGAUCGUCUGACAAAUUUGGAUUUUCUGCUUGUGGUGUUUGUAUUAAAUAAGCAUUUGCUACCCCCAGAGCAGGGUAUCUUCAUCCCGCUCUUCCUCCAGUUUCUUGGGCUUUAUCCUAGACCAGUUAAAUCUGAGUUUCUAGAGCUCUCCAUCUGAAUUUUUAGCAGGUUUCUCAGGUAAUUCUUUUACAGAAAGAUAAUGACAUAAUUUGCUUCCACUCUGAGGGUCUGUGCUGCCCUCAUUUGCACAACUGACAGAAGAGAAUGGCUUAUUCUUUUUUUUUUCUUUUUGGAGACAAACACACGUGUGCAUGUGUCUUUAUAGUAGAAUGGUUUAUAAUCCUUUGGGCAUCAUCCUUUUUUUCUCUAAUCUUGUCUUCACUCUUUAUUUCAUUAAGUUGAUCUUCAAUCUCUGAUAUCCUUUCUGUACAAUGGAGACAAAAAAGAUGAGCAGAGCAAAUAGGACAAGAUGUGGAGGGAUAGGGUCAUUGCAGCAUUCCACAAGAAGUCUCGUUGAAUAAUUAACAACUAAGCAAAGACUGGAAGCAAGUCUUCAAGGAACUUGCCAUGUAGAUACCUGGAAGAA